rnacentral:rRNA from 1 species
AACGAACGCUGGCGGCAUGCCUAACACAUGCAAGUCGAACGAGACCUUCGGGUCUAGUGGCGCACGGGUGCGUAACGCGUGGGAACCUGCCCUUAGGUUCGGAAUAACUCCCCGAAAGGGGUGCUAAUACCGGAUAAUGUCUUCGGACCAAAGAUUUAUCGCCUUUGGAUGGGCCCGCGUUGGAUUAGCUAGUUGGUAGGGUAAAAGCCUACCAAGGCGACGAUCCAUAGCUGGUCUGAGAGGAUGAUCAGCCACACUGGGACUGAGACACGGCCCAGACUCCUACGGGAGGCAGCAGUGGGGAAUAUUGGACAAUGGGCGAAAGCCUGAUCCAGCAAUGCCGCGUGAGUGAUGAAGGCGUUAGGGUUGUAAAGCUCUUUUACCCGGGAUGAUAAUGACAGUACCGGGAGAAUAAGCUCCGGCUAACUCCGUG